rnacentral:lncRNA from 1 species
GUGAAUAACCCCGGCCCUGGUGCGCGCUGAGUUUCGCCUAAAUCAGCGCCCCACUCCUCUGCAAGGUGUAGUGCUGCAGGCGCUAGCCUGCCCGGGUCCUCGGGCAAUCCCAGAAAAGGAAGGCCAGUGUUUGAGCAUGGGUGCCCGCGUCCUAGCCGCCGUGGGGGAACCCUCCGUUCUCCCUGAACUGCGGCCCUUAGCAGCGCGGAAGACUCAGGACCGAUGCCGGAUUCCUUUAACAGCUUGACCAAAGUCCUCCUGGCACCGCGCCUCCCUCCCUGUCCCUCGGAACUCCCGGUGGUUUUGCUCCAAAGCGGCCAGAACCUGGACCCUUUUUGAUUAAUUAAAAUAGGGCCAGCCAGACCUGGUUGAGGCACGCCUGUUAUCGCAUCACUUUGGGAAGCUGAGCCAAGCUGAUUCUGACUCAAACGGCCCUCCCUAGAGUAACUGUGGUCAGCCACCAGCCUAAAGGAGCCACCUGGGCCACUCUCAGUUCUGUGGCACUCAUUGCCACACAGUCGUCAUCGUCGUUUUUUACUGGUUGAUAUUCUGUGUCCCAUCCUCCAGAAUGCUUCUUCUCCACUGUCCAGAUGUGAGCUGAAAAAGGAAUGUAUGUUAUGGUUGGAAAGUCCAAAGGUAAUGGUGCCACCCAUGUGUUUGAAUGAGAUAUUUCUUCUGAUGAAAAUAAAUCCUAUUUCAUACGAAUAAGCAAGUAAUAGAUACUAACCCACACAUAGGCUCAUCCUGGGAUCACCACUGAGUUUUUGCUUUACUUUCAUGAAAUUAGCAACUUCAUCAUGAG